AUCAACUCUUCCAACUAAAAGUGAACAGCGUAAAGACCAGGUAUUUUCAGAAAGUAUUCGUAAAUCACUUCAGACAUGUUUAGUCCAAGAAAACGAAGAAAAACUUGAAGGAUUGUUGAAGUUUUACCAAAAGAGAAAAGCUCACCAUAAGUCACAAGUAAUAACAGCAUUGUUAUAUGUUUUGCGCCAAAUUCUCGCUUCAUCCAGUUUUACAGAUGGACGUGGAAGAGGCUUUUUACACUUUUGAGAAGCUUUUGGUCUAUACAGUAGCUUUUUUGAGAAGCCCAUACAAAAAGAAGAAUUCAGGGACCAGCUUUUGAAUCCUGAAUAUGGUCUGCGUGUGUUAGUGGCUACUAUUCACGGUACAAGAUAUGUCAUACUCGAAAAUGACUUCACAGAUAUUGCAUGGCUUUUGAAAGACAUGGGAAAUACCAUAGAGGGGAAGAAUGUACGGUAUGAGCUCACUGCUUCUAACUUGCAAAGUAUUAUAAAUUCAAUGGACACAGAAUAUGAUAAGAAUGCACUGAAAGCUGUUAUAUUUGCAACCAGAAGUCGAAGUGAAGUUGAAAGUCUUGGAAUUAAGGCUGAUAGAGCAGUUACUUUUUUAAGUAAAACAGUAAAUGCUGCUAAAGAAUGGAAGAAUGCAAUGUUGGCAGCAGAGGACAUGAUUGAACUGCGUCUAAAGGAGAAAAAGGAGUCUGUUG